UACGGAGGGUCCAAGCGUUAUCCGGAUUCAUUGGGUUUAAAGGGUGCGUAGGCGGAAUUAUAAGUCAGUGGUGAAAUCCUGCAGCUUAACUUCAGAACUGCCAUUGAUACUGUCAAUCUUGAGUACAUUUGAUGUGGGCGGAAUGUGUCAUGUAGCGGUGAAAUGCUUAGAUAUGACACAGAACACCGAUUGCGAAGGCAGCUCACAAAACUGUAACUGACGCUGAGGCACGAAAGCGUGGGUAUCAAACAGG
rnacentral:rRNA from 1 species